AUUGAACGCUGGCGGAAUGCUUUACACAUGCAAGUCGAACGGCAGCACGGGGCAACCUGGUGGCGAGUGGCGAACGGGUGAGUAAUACAUCGGAACGUGCCCAGUCGUGGGGGAUAACGUAGCGAAAGUUACGCUAAUACCGCAUACGAUCUACGGAUGAAAGCGGGGGAUCGCAAGACCUCGCGCGAAUGGAGCGGCCGAUGUCAGAUUAGGUAGUUGGUGGGGUAAAGGCUCACCAAGCCAACGAUCUGUAGCUGGUCUGAGAGGACGACCAGCCACACUGGGACUGAGACACGGUCCAGACUCCUACGGGAGGCAGCAGUGGGGAAUAUUGGUCAAUGGAGGGAACUCUGAUCCAGCCAUUCCGCGUGCAGGAUGAAGGCCUUCGGGUUGUAACUGCUUUGUACGGUAACGAAACGGUACUGCCCUAAUACGGCAGGC
rnacentral:rRNA from 1 species